UGUUCCUUACUGAGACCUAGACAACCAGGUGAGGGGAGUUCCUUACUGAGACCUAGACAACCAGGUGAGGGGAGUUCCUUACUGAGACCUAGACAACCAGGUGAGGGGAGUUCCUUACUGAGACCUAGACAACCAGGUGAGGGGAGUUCCUUACUGAGACCUAGACAACCAGGUGAGGGGAGUUCCUUACUGAGACCUAGACAACCAGGUGAGGGGAGUUCCUUACUGAGACCUAGACAACCAGGUGAGGGGAGUUCCUUACUGAGACCUAGACAACCAGGUGAGGGGAGUUCCUUACUGAGACCUAGACAACCAGGUGAGGGGAGUUCCUUACUGAGACCUAGACAACCAGGUGAGUGGAGUUCCUUACUGAGACCUAGACAACCAGGUGAGGGGAGUUCCUUACUGAGACCUAGACAACCAGGUGAGGGGAGUUCCUUACUGAGACCUAGACAACCAGGUGAGGGGAGUUCCUUACUGAGACCUAGACAACCAGGUGAGGGGAGUUCCUUACUGAGACCUAGACAACCAGGUGAGGGGAGUUCCUUACUGAGACCUAGACAACCAGGUGAGGGGAGUUCCUUACUGAGACCUAGACAACCAGGUGAGGGGAGUUCCUUACUGAGACCUAGACAACCAGGUGAGUGGAGUUCCUUACUGAGACCUAGACAACCAGGUGAGGGGAGUUCCUUACUGAGACCUAGACAACCAGGUGAGGGGAGUUCCUUACUGAGACCUAGACAACCAGGU